rnacentral:misc_RNA from 1 species
AACGCAUAUUGCACCCUCUGGUAUUCCGGGGGGUACACCUGUUCGAGCGCCAUUUAAACCCUCAAGCAUAGCUUGGUGUUGGGUAGGGUCUCAAGGGACCCACCCGUAACUCGUAGGCAGUCAUCACCCGCGCCUCCAGCGUAGCAAGCUCACGCACUCGCUCGGGGACGGUAUAUGACCAUGUCAAACUGGACCUCUAAAGGUUUGGCCUCGGAUCAGGUGGGGAUACCCGCUGAACUUAA